GACUUCAUGGUGUAGGGGUCAGCACGCUCGACUUGUUUUCGAGAGGUCCGUGGUUCAAGCUCCGGUGAGGGCA
rnacentral:tRNA from 1 species